rnacentral:rRNA from 1 species
CCUACGGGAGGCAGCAGUGAGGAAUAUUGGUCAAUGGACGGAAGUCUGAACCAGCCAUGCCGCGUGCAGGAAGACGGCUCUAUGAGUUGUAAACUGCUUUUGUACAAGGGUAAACCUGAAUACGUGUAUUCAGCUGAAAGUACUGUACGAAUAAGGAUCGGCUAACUCCGUGCCAGCAGCCGCGGUAAUACGGAGGAUCCAAGCGUUAUCCGGAUUUAUUGGGUUUAAAGGGUGCGUAGGCGGAUUGAUAAGUUAGAGGUGAAAUGUCCGAGCUUAACUCGGGAACUGCCUUUAAUACUGUUGAUCUAGAGAGUAGAUGCGGUAGGCGGAAUGUAUGGUGUAGCGGUUAAAUGCUUAGAGAUCAUACAGAACACCGAUUGCGAAGGCAGCUUACCAAUCUAUAUCUGACGUUGAGGCACGAAAGCGUGGGGAGCAAACAGGAUUAGAUACCCCAGUAGUC